rnacentral:rRNA from 1 species
CCUACGGGUGGCAGCAGUGGGGAAUAUUGCACAAUGGGGGAAACCCUGAUGCAGCGACGCCGCGUGAGUGAAGAAGUAUUUCGGUACGUAAAGCUCUAUCAGCAGGGAAGAAAAUGACGGUACCUGACUAAGAAGCCCCGGCUAACUACGUGCCAGCAGCCGCGGUAAUACGUAAGGGGCAAGCGUUAUCCGGAUUUACUGGGUGUAAAGGGAGCGUAGACGGCAGCGCAAGUCUGGAGUGAAAUCCCAUGGCUUAACCAUGGAACUGCUUUGGAAACUGUGCAGCUAGAGUGCAGGAGAGGUAAGCGGAAUUCCUAGUGUAGCGGUGAAAUGCGUAGAUAUUAGGAGGAACACCAGUGGCGAAGGCGGCUUACUGGACUGUAACUGACGUUGAGGCUCGAAAGCGUGGGGAGCAAACAGGAUUAGAUACCCCAGUAGUC